rnacentral:rRNA from 1 species
CGAACGCUGGCGGCGUGCUUAACACAUGCAAGUCGAACGGAAAGGCCCCUUUGGGGGUACUCGAGUGGCGAACGGGUGAGUAACACGUGAGUAACCUGCCCUUGACUUCGGGAUAACUUCAGGAAACUGGGGCUAAUACCGGAUAGGAAUCCUUGCUGCAUGGUGGGGGUUGGAAAGCUUCGGCGGUUUUGGAUGGACUCACGGCUUAUCAGCUUGUUGGUGGGGUAGUGGCUUACCAAGGCUUUGACGGGUAGCCGGCCUGAGAGGGCGACCGGCCACAUUGGGACUGAGAUACGGCCCAGACUCCUACGGGAGGCAGCAGUGGGGAAUAUUGCACAAUGGGCGGAAGCCUGAUGCAGCAACGCCGCGUGCGGGAUGACGGCCUUCGGGUUGUAAACCGCUUUCAGCAGGGGCGAAGCUUGUGGUGACGGUACCUGCAGAAGAAGCACCGGCUAACUACG